GAUGAAGAACGUAGCGAAAUGCGAUAAGUAAUGUGAAUUGCAGAAUUCAGUGAAUCAUCGAAUCUUUGAACGCACAUUGCGCCCCCUGGUAUUCCGGGGGGCAUGCCUGUUCGAGCGUCAUUUCACCACUCAAGCCUCGCUUGGUAUUGGGGUUCGCGGUUCCGCGGCCCCUAAAAUCAGUGGCGGUGCCUGUCGGCUCUACGCGUAGUAAUACUCCUCGCGUCUGGGUCCGGUAGGUCUACUUGCCAGCAACCCCCAAUUUUUACAGGUUGACCUCGGAUCAGGUAGGGAUACCCGCUGAACUUAAGCAUAUCAAUAAGCGGAGGA
rnacentral:misc_RNA from 1 species